rnacentral:rRNA from 1 species
AACGAACGCUGGCGGCAGGCCUAACACAUGCAAGUCGAGCGAGGACUUCGGUCCUAGCGGCGGACGGGUGAGUAACGCGUGGGAACGUGCCCUUUGCUACGGAAUAGCCCCGGGAAACUGGGAGUAAUACCGUAUGUGCCCUUCGGGGGAAAGAUUUAUCGGCAAAGGAUCGGCCCGCGUUGGAUUAGGUAGUUGGUGGGGUAAUGGCCUACCAAGCCGACGAUCCAUAGCUGGUUUGAGAGGAUGAUCAGCCACACUGGGACUGAGACACGGCCCAGACUCCUACGGGAGGCAGCAGUGGGGAAUCUUAGACAAUGGGGGAAACCCUGAUCUAGCCAUGCCGCGUGAGCGAUGAAGGCCUUAGGGUUGUAAAGCUCUUUCAGUGGGGAAGAUAAUGACGGUACCCACAGAAGAAGCCCCGGCUAACUCCGUGCCAGCAGCCGCCGUAACAC